rnacentral:rRNA from 1 species
GACGAACGCUGGCGGCGUGCCUAAUACAUGCAAGUCGAGCGGACAGAAGGGAGCUUGCUCCCGGAAGUUAGCGGCGGACGGGUGAGUAACACGUGGGCAACCUACCCUGUAGAUCGGGAUAACAUCGAGAAAUCGGUGCUAAUACCGGAUAAUCAUUCGAAGUGCAUGCUUCGAAUGUAAAAGAUGGCUCCGGCUAUCACUACGGGAUGGGCCCGCGGCGCAUUAGCUAGUUGGUAAGGUAAUGGCUUACCAAGGCAACGAUGCGUAGCCGACCUGAGAGGGUGAUCGGCCACACUGGGACUGAGACACGGCCCAGACUCCGACGGGAGGCAGCAGUAGGGAAUCUUCCGCAAUGGACGAAAGUCUGACGGAGCAACGCCGCGCGAGUGAUGAAGGUUUUCGGAUCGUAAAGCUCUGUUGUUAGGGAAGAACAAGUGCCGUUUGAAUAAGGCGGCACCUUGACGGUACCUAACCAGAAGCCACGGCUAACUACGUGCCAGCCGCCGCAGUAAAAC